rnacentral:rRNA from 1 species
GAUGAACGCUGGCGGCGUGCCUAAUACAUGCAAGUCGAGCGAACAGAUAAGGAGCUUGCUCCUUUGACGUUAGCGGCGGACGGGUGAGUAACACGUGGGUAACCUACCUCUAAGACUGGAAUAACUCCGGGAAACCGGGGCUAAUGCCGGAUAACAUUUAGAACCGCAUGGUUCUAAAGUGAAAGAUGGUUUUGCUAUCACUUAUAGAUGGACACGCGUCGUAUUAGCUAGUUGGUAAGGUAACGGCUUACCAAGGCAACGAUACGUAGCCGACCUGAGAGCUAGAUCGGGUACAUUGGAGGUGAGGCAGGCUCCUCAGACCGACAGUAAGCAGCAGUAGGCAAUUGUCCGGAAUGGAGGAGAGCCGGACGGACCAACGCGGAGGGAAGGAUGAAGGUCUGCGGAUGGUAGAACUCUGUUAUUAGGUGAGAAGUAAUGUGUAAGUAGCUGUGCACGUCUUGACUGUACCUAAUGAGAAAGCCACGGCUAACUACGUG